rnacentral:rRNA from 1 species
UACGUAGGUGGCAAGCGUUGUCCGGAUUUACUGGGCGUAAAGCGCGCGCAGGCGGACUGAUCAGUCUGGGGUGAAGUCUCACGGCUCAACUGUGAGCGGUCCCUGGAUACUGUCAGCCUUGAGAGACCUAGAGGAGAGCGGAAUUCCCGGUGUAGUGGUGGAAUGCGUAGAUAUCGGGAAGAACACCAGUGGCGAAAGCGGCCCUCUGGGGGUUUUCUGACGCUGAGGCGCGAAAGCGUGGGGAGCGAACCGG